AAUCAACGCUGGCGGCGUGCCUCAGACAUGCAAGUCGAACGCGAAAUUUCCCUUCGGGGAGAAAGUAGAGUGGCGCACGGGUGAGUAACACGUGGGUAAUUUGCCUUCGGGUGGGGAAUAACGUCUCGAAAGAGACGCUAAUACCGCAUGAUGCAGCGGCACCACAUGGUGACAGUUGUUAAAGGCGGGGAGUCGCAAGACCUCGCGCCUGAAGAGAAGCCCGCGGCGGAUUAGCUAGUUGGUAAGGUAAUGGCUUACCAAGGCAACGAUCUGUAGUCGGCCUGAGAGGGCGGUCGGCC
rnacentral:rRNA from 1 species